GGAGAGGUGGCCGAGUGGUUUAAGGCGCACGCCUGGAAAGCGUGUUUCCGCGAAAGCGGAUCGAGGGUUCGAAUCCCUUCUUCUCCGC
rnacentral:tRNA from 1 species